UGGGGAAUAUUGCACAAUGGGCGCAAGCCUGAUGCAGCCAUGCCGCGUGUAUGAAGAAGGCCUUCGGGUUGUAAAGUACUUUCAGCGGGGAGGAAGGGAGUAAAGUUAAUAUCUUUGCUCAUUGACGUUACCCGCAGAAGAAGCACCGGCUAACUCCGUGCCAGCAGCCGCGGUAAUACGGAGGGUGCAAGCGUUAAUCGGAAUUACUGGGCGUAAAGCGCACGCAGGCGGUUUGUUAAGUCAGAUGUGAAAUCCCCGGGCUCAACCUGGGAACUGCAUCUGAUACUGGCAAGCUUGAGUCUCGUAGAGGGGGGUAGAAUUCCAGGUGUAGCGGUGAAAUGCGUAGAGAUCUGGAGGAAUACCGGUGGCGAAGGCGGCCCCCUGGACGAAGACUGACGCUCAGGUGCGAAAGCGUGGGGAGCAAACAGG
rnacentral:rRNA from 1 species